UGAAAGCUUGGAGGUAUGAGAGUGUCUAAAAAGUAAGAAAACGGGUUUGUUGGGAAAAACGCUAAAACUCCAGGAAAAGAGAACACAAGUUAUAUUGCCAGAGUUUCAAAAAUUCGGGAUGUGAGUGUCUUGCUAGCAGAUGCACUAGACAAAGGGACUCCAUAAAGAAACGGGAUUACUUGACUACCAGUAGAUGAAUUGUCAUAGCAGGAGCAGAGAGCGAGCCAGGAAGUCCUAAGGACAUGAAAUGUCUUAAUCGUCAGACUAAAUCUCCUUUUAGGGGUGUCUGUUUCUGUGUAAUGAAGCUGUGUGGAUUCUGGCUAAAAGCCUCUCAGAAGUAUACUCCUGGCACACUGGCAGCAGAACAGCACAUACAAAUGCUGAGUUCUCCAAGGUGCUGUCUGCAAGACCAGACCUUACACAGAGCAGCACCUACACCUAUGAGAGGUCUGUACAAAGAAGUAUAGGGGAGACUGAACAUCACCAAUAUGGGUCUUAACAACUAUUAGAAGCUUGCACAAUAAACAUGAGACUAUGAGGACA
rnacentral:lncRNA from 1 species